rnacentral:rRNA from 1 species
UACGUAGGUGGCAAGCGUUAUCCGGAUUUAUUGGGCGUAAAGGGAACGCAGGCGGUCUUUUAAGUCUGAUGUGAAAGCCUUCGGCUUAACCGGAGUAGUGCAUUGGAAACUGGGAGACUUGAGUGCAGAAGAGGAGAGUGGAACUCCAUGUGUAGCGGUGAAAUGCGUAGAUAUAUGGAAGAACACCAGUGGCGAAAGCGGCUCUCUGGUCUGCAACUGACGCUGAGGUUCGAAAGCGUGGGUAGCAAACAGG